UACGUAGGGUGCAAGCGUUGUCCGGAAUUAUUGGGCGUAAAGAGCUCGUAGGCGGUCUGUCGCGUCUGCUGUGAAAACUCGGGGCUUAACCCCGGGCCUGCAGUGGGUACGGGCAGACUAGAGUGCGGUAGGGGAGACUGGAAUUCCUGGUGUAGCGGUGAAAUGCGCAGAUAUCAGGAGGAACACCGGUGGCGAAAGCGGCGACCUGGACAGAUACUGACACUCAACUACGAAAGCGUGGGGAGCAAACAGG
rnacentral:rRNA from 1 species